rnacentral:lncRNA from 1 species
UUCAAGCUCGCCCAAGGUCAUGUUUUUUAAUAAGGUUUUGCAAGGAAUAGAGAGGCAAGAGGCAAGGAGAAUUUGGGAUCAUCAAAGCUUUCUUUUCUACUCUUUGUUUUUGCCAAUUGCAAUGAUAUUGAACCUGAUUAUGUUGAACAAUAGUAUGAGUGGCUAGAACUCAUUGUUCUAGGGUCAUGGGUAAAACAUGAAUGUUGUAGUUUGAAGUUUGAUUCGACGAAGUUGGC